rnacentral:hammerhead_ribozyme from 1 species
AGUCCUGACGAGUCCUGCAUAGGACGGAACGCGCGUCCUGAAU